rnacentral:rRNA from 1 species
UACGGGGGGGGGCAAGCGUUGUUCGGAAUUACUGGGCGUAAAGGGCUCGUAGGCGGCCAACUAAGUCAGACGUGAAAUCCCUCGGCUUAACCGGGGAACUGCGUCUGAUACUGGUUGGCUUGAAUCCGGGAGAGGGAUGUGGAAUUCCAGGUGUAGCGGUGAAAUGCGUAGAUAUCUGGAGGAACACCGGUGGCGAAGGCGGCAUUCUGGACCGAUAUUGACGCUGAGGAGCGAAAGCCAGGGGAGCAAACGGG